rnacentral:lncRNA from 1 species
UGAAGAUUACCUUAUGGAAGAGCUGCAGGAUGAGAACCUUAGUACAAGAGCAAGGAUACGGAAGGAUGCAAUCUUGUUAGAUCUCAAACAACUUAAAGAAAGGUAUCAUUGGGAAACAUUGUCUGGAGGGGUUCCAGGCAAGUAUUGUCCAGCACGAGAAGAUGACAGCCAGAGCCGGAAUUUCACCUCAUCUGUAACAUCAGAAGGAUCUUUUGCAUUCAGCUGCCCUGAGAAUGGUGAGUCCGCCUUGGUAAAACCUUGGUAAUAACCAUUGUGGU